AGAGAAGAAGCCUAGCUCAGUGGUAGAGUGCCUGCUUUGCAUGCAGAAGGCUCCAUGCUCAAUCCCUGACUUCUCCA